AGGGAUCAUUACCGAGUUUACAACUCCCAAACCCAAUGUGAACCAUACCAAACUGUUGCCUCGGCGGGGUCACGCCCCGGGUGCGUCGCAGCCCCGGAACCAGGCGCCCGCCGGAGGGACCAACCAAACUCUUUUCUGUAGUCCCCUCGCGGACGUUAUUUCUUACAGCUCUGAGCAAAAAUUCAAAAUGAAUCAAAACUUUCAACAACGGAUCUCUUGGUUCUGGCAUCGAUGAAGAACGCAGCGGAAUGCGAUAAGUAAUGUGAAUUGCAGAAUUCAGUGAAUCAUCGAAUCUUUGAACGCACAUUGCGCCCGCCAGUAUUCUGGCGGGCAUGCCUGUCCGAGCGUCAUUUCAACCCUCGAACCCCUCCGGGGGGUCGGCGUUGGGGAUCGGGAACCCCUAAGACGGGAUCCCGGCCCCGAAAUACAGUGGCGGUCUCGCCGCAGCCUCUCCUGCGCAGUAGUUUGCACAACUCGCACCGGGAGCGCGGCGCGUCCACGUCCGUAAAACACCCAACAUCUGAAAUGUUGACCUCGGAUCAGGUAGGAAUACCCGCUGAACUUAA
rnacentral:rRNA from 1 species